AGGGCACCACCAGAUGUGGAGCUUGCGGCUUAAUUUGACUCAACACGGGAAAACUUACCCGGCCCGGACACUGGGAGGAUUGACAGAUUGAGAGCUCUUUCUUGAUUCAGUGGGUGGUGGUGCAUGGCCGUUCUUAGUCGGUGGAGCGAUUUGUCUGGUUAAUUCCGAUAACGAACGAGACUCUAGCCUACUAAAUAGACCGCCGACUUUUAAACGUCAGCGGGACUUCUUAGAGGGACAGGCGGUGAUUCAACCGCACGAAACAGAGCAAUAACAGGUCUGUGAUGCCCUUAGAUGUCCGGGGCCGCACGCGUGCUACACUGAAGUGAUCAGCAUGCAUUGAGUUCCUGCUCCGUCAGGAGUGGGUAACCCAUUGAACCUUCUUCGUGAUUGGGAUAGGAGAUUGUAAUUAUUCUCCUUGAACGAGGAAUAUCCAGUAAGCGCAAGUCAUAAGCUUGCGUUGAUUACGUCCCUGCCCUUUGUACACACCGCCCGUCGCUACUACCGAUUGAAUGGUUU
rnacentral:rRNA from 1 species